rnacentral:rRNA from 1 species
GACGAACGCUGGCGGCGUGCCUAACACAUGCAAGUCGAACGGAACUUUUUUAAAAGAUUUCUUCGGAAUGAAUUUGAUUAAGUUUAGUGGCGGACGGGUGAGUAACGCGUGAGUAACCUGCCUCUAAGAGGGGAAUAACAUUCUGAAAAGAAUGCUAAUACCGCAUAAUAUAUAUUUAUCGCAUGGUAGAUAUAUCAAAGAUUUAUCGCUUAGAGAUGGACUCGCGUCCGAUUAGUUAGUUGGUGAGGUAACGGCUCACCAAGACCGCGAUCGGUAGCCGGACUGAGAGGUUGAACGGCCACAUUGGGACUGAGACACGGCCCAGACUCCUACGGGAGGCAGCAGUGGGGGAUAUUGCGCAAUGGGGGAAACCCUGACGCAGCAACGCCGCGUGAAGGAUGAAGGUCUUCGGAUUGUAAACUUCUUUUAUUAGGGACGAAGAAAGUGACGGUACUUAAUGAAUAAGCUCCGGCUAACUACGUGCCAGCAGCCGCGGUAAUACGUAGGGAGCAAGCGUUGUCCGGAUUUACUGGGUGUAAAGGGUGCGUAGGCGGCUUUGCAAGUCAGAUGUGAAAUCUAUGGGCUCAACCCAUAGCCUGCAUUUGAAACUGCAGAGCUUGAGUGAAGUAGAGGCAGGCGGAAUUCCCCGUGUAGCGGUGAAAUGCGUAGAGAUGGGGAGGAACACCAGUGGCGAAGGCGGCCUGCUGGGCUUUAACUGACGCUGAGGCACGAAAGCGUGGGUAGCAAACAGGAUUAGAUACCCUGGUAGUCCACGCUGUAAACGAC